rnacentral:tmRNA from 1 species
GGGGCUGAUUCUGGAUUCGACGGGAUUUGCGAAACCCAAGGUGCAUGCCGAGGGGCGGUUGGCCUCGUAAAAAGCCGCAAAAAAUAGUCGCAAACGACGAAAACUACGCUUUAGCAGCUUAAUAACCUGCUUAGAGCCCUCUCUCCCUAGCCUCCGCUCUUAGGACGGGGAUCAAG